CUCAAACCCGUGAACUGCGAGAUCACAACCUGGGCCAAAGUUGGACACUUAAUCAACCUGAGCCACCCAGGUGCCCCAGCAUUGUGAUUUUUAGGAACUAACAGUCAUGUUAUAGGACUGAGUGCACACGUAAAACACUCAGCUCACGGUUCUUUCCCCAUUACGAACUGACUUCAUCCUCAUGCUUUGCUUGUGGAUUAUUUUUCUGAUUAUACACAAAAGAAAAUGCAAACGCAGAGAAGUCACUUGCCCAAGAUCACACAACCAAGUCCCAGCAGAUAAAAGGCCUGUUCCCUGCCUUCAAAUUUCUUAAGAUACAAAAGAUACAGAUAUUACUUCUAAACCUAUAUCCAAACACUGAGAGCAAAACGUACAUAAGAGCAUGGCCCUUUGGGAGUCAAAAGGUGGAGAGGAGAGAGGGCAUUUAAUCAUAAAAGAAUCCUUGAAGAGGUAAAUUGGAACUGUAGAAAAAUAGUGAGCAGAAGGAAAAAAACUGCAGAAUGGAGACAAAUCAGUGGAUAGCAGGGGUCUCAAACUCAGAUGCCUACAGGGGCCGAGCAAACAACAGGGAUGAAUAGAACGUUCCGGGUGUAAACAAUAGAGAAUGGUGGGGACUGCAGGGCCUCAGGUCUCACCAAAGGGGUAGCCACUAAGGAGUGCUGACCAAUUUUGUGGCACUCCUAGGAAGAUCCAACAACUGGUUUUUAUGAGAAGCAGAAAAUUUACAUUUUAUAUGAAAUUUCUAGGUUGGGUUUUUUGUUUUUUUCAUUUUAAUUGUGGUCUAAACAUCAACUGUUUUCUAAACAUUGGCAACGAAUUCAAGUAUUUUAAAAACACGUUUCAGGCCAAACUAAUACAUCUACAGGCCAGAUGCGCCCCGCGGGCUGCCAGUAUUCAAGCUCUGAUGAAGGACGAUGCUCAGGGCUCGGGGCCCCAACCAAAGAAGUCUGAACAAUGAUGGACACAAAAUAUGUUAUUUAUUGUCAAUUUCUGCAAAGACACAUUUAAGCAACAAAAUAUACAUUUGUCAACCUUUU